UAACAAUGUGACAAAGAACCCUAUUUAUUUAUUGAGCUCCCUCGUAGCUUUAGUUAAGCUGCGGUCGAACCUAUGUCCCCGCCGAUACAAGCCCACACAUUGUUCCUGCGACCGUGGCAGCAAACUCUGUUCCCAAACAUAUUAGUAACAUCGUCGUGGAAAAUUUUCUGUCGACUAGCAAAAUACUACUUUAGUAAGUAGGUAUAAAAUGACAAUAAAAUGACAAAGAGCAAGUAGAUAGGUACUUAAAUUACAAAUAGACAUACGCCGCUCUUGAGUCGACAUCGAUGACACGCUCGCGGGCGGACAGACGGCGGCUGCUGCGAAUAUGUAUUCUACAGUGAAGUAAAUACUGACAUGCAUUCUACUUGAUUUGAGACGUACCAUUGUGAUCGCAGAUCUAACAAGCCACCCUGACAAUUUGCCGUACAAAAAACAUCAACGACCCUCUCAAAUAUAAGUAAUAAAAAUUUUACUAAACGAAAAUGUCGAAACUAUGGAAAAAAUUGAUAUCUGUUAAAAAUUUACGAUUUGAUAUAAUGAAGGUAUUAUAAUUUUGCUGCUACCGAAGUGACGGCGUAGCAGUGCUACCGGCUACGACGCGCGCUGCCGGCGGGCCCUCUACGACGCGCUACGCCGUAGCCGCCGCUACGCCACCACACAGGAAAUAUUUGGUUUGUUUGAUUUUCUUUGAAUCUAACCUUUGAUAAAGUUUACUUUCAACAAUAUCUAACCAUUAAAUGGCGUUUAAAAUAAAUGUCUUCGCUUCAUUAGGAUGUGGAGUGGAACUUUAGUGGGAUAUGAUUUGUAUCAAUUUUUUGCAGAUCGGGAAAAACUAUUAAUGUCAUGAGUAAAACGCUUUCACAAUUUGAAAAAAAUAAAUCAGCUUUACUGCAAA